CAAGUCGAACGGCAGCGCGGGCUUCGGCCUGGCGGCGAGUGGCGAACGGGUGAGUAAUAUAUCGGAACGUGCCCAAGAGUGGGGGAUAACGUAGCGAAAGUUACGCUAAUACCGCAUACGAUCUACGGAUGAAAGCAGGGGACCUUCGGGCCUUGUGCUCCUGGAGCGGCCGAUAUCUGAUUAGCUAGUUGGUGAGGUAAAGGCUCACCAAGGCGACGAUCAGUAGCUGGUCUGAGAGGACGACCAGCCACACUGGAACUGAGACACGGUCCAGACUCCUACGGGAGGCAGCAGUGGGGAAUUUUGGACAAUGGGGGCAACCCUGACCCAGCAAUGCCGCGUGAGUGAAGAAGGCCUUCGGGUUGUAAAGCUCUUUUGUCAGGGAAGAAAAGGUCGUGGCUAAUAUCCACGGCUCAUGACGGUACCUGAAGAAUAAGCACCGGCUAACUACGUGCCAGCAGCCGCGGUAAUACGUAGGGUGCAAGCGUUAAUCGGAAUUACUGGGCGUAAAGCGUGCGCAGGCGGUUUUGUAAGUCUGUCGUGAAAUCCCCGGGCUUAACCUGGGAAUGGCGAUGGAGACUGCAAGGCUAGAAUCUGGCAGAGGGGGGUAGAAUUCCACGUGUAGCAGUGAAAUGCGUAGAGAUGUGGAGGAACACCGAUGGCGAAGGCAGCCCCCUGGGCUAAGAUUGACGCUCAUGCACGAAAGCGUGGGGAGCAAACAGGAUUAGAUACCCUGGUAGUCCACGCCCUAAACGAUGUCUACUAGUUGUUGGGUCUUAAUUGACUUAGUAACGCAGCUAACGCGUGAAGUAGACCGCCUGGGGAGUACGGUCGCAAGAUUAAAACUCAAAGGAAUUGACGGGGACCCGCACAAGCGGUGGAUGAUGUGGAUUAAUUCGAUGCAAC
rnacentral:rRNA from 1 species